rnacentral:rRNA from 1 species
UACAGGGGGUGCUAGCGUUAUUCGGAAUUACUGGGCGUAAAGGGCGCGUAGGCGGUUUCGCAAGUCAGGGGUGAAAUCCCGGAGCUUAACUCCGGAAUUGCUUUUGAUACUGUGAGGCUAGAGUGAGUUAGAGGAUGGCGGAAUUCCUAGUGUAGUGGUGAAAUACGUAGAUAUUAGGAAGAACACCGGUGGCGAAGGCGGCCAUCUGGGACUCAACUGACGCUGAGGCGCGAAAGCGUGGGGAUCAAACAGG